UACUGACAACUUUUUUUCUUCACCGUACCGUCGCUAUCCAAAACAACCUAAGUGUCUCCAGACAUGAACCAAUCCCUCACCUUAACUGCUGGCCAGAGGACUAGUUUAGAGAAAGCUGCACCUGUACCUUUUCAGUCAAAGUCUGGAUACAAACUGUCAUCCCAGUCAUCGCAAUCUGCAACAUCUCUACUACCCCUUUCCCCUACUGUUCUGCGGCUGCGCAAAAGAGCUCUUUAUUCUCUCCACCCCCGCCUUCUCCAGAAAGGUCUGGGGCCGUAUUGAGGUUGAUGGUUCCAGUAAGCCCGGACGGGCUUGACAGGCAUGUGCACAUCCCUCCCAGACCCCUCACCGAUGGGACUCCCAUCCUCCUCAUCUCCAGUCUCUUCCCGCUCGGGCAGUGGGGGCUGCUGCUGUGUCGGUGGCUGGUGCUGAUUCUGCUUCUUUCGUUUCGGCAUCGUGUCUGCGGCAAUGGCUGCAGCGGGAUUUGGAGGGUAGUGAGGAAGGGGCACGCGGGGAUUCUGUUUCCGCUUCCGGGGGGUCGGUGGGCAGCAAUGCUGAGGC
rnacentral:lncRNA from 1 species